CCACGACUCGAACUAUCGGCACGAAGCAUAUGGGCCUAAGAGCGAUGAAAUUGAGGUGUCCAUUUUCGGCCCGCGGCCCAAUAGGAUUGUCAGAAUUCAGCCCAUUUUCCUCCGACUAACUCCAUAAGGUGGUGGGCUAGACGAUCUGGGUUUGAAACCUCACCCAUUCUAAUUAUUUGAUAUUAGAUCCUUCUCUAAUAUUGGCCUUUUUUUAAGAGGAUUUUUAGGGUACAUUGUACUGCAAGUAUAUACUAGCAGUAUAUAUGAUUUAACGGUGUAGAUUCAUCUAAUCUUCCGCCCAAUGAGCCUGCAGUAUAAAUUGAAUAGGGUAUAUUAGUUUUUUUCAUCUUUUGCGUGGAGGAAUAUUUUUGUAUUUUCGCAUUUCUUUACUUCUUCGUCAGAUCCCGCUCGAGCGAAUUCCAGUUGGAGAGUUAGAGCCGUUCCCUUUCCUUUGUCGCAUGUUUGACCGCCGCCGCCGACAACCACCGGAAGCACGCCGCGCCCCGCGCCGCCGCCCCCGGGAAUCGAUUCUAUUUACGUCCUCUUUUCAUCCUCUUCUAUCAUUCCCACUCAUCCAAAACCUUCCUUAACUCCUCUAUUGACGGCUCGGGUGUGCGGAGACGGCAUUCAGGCGGAGCUGCAUAUGGGUGCCGGCUGCUGGGGGCCCAGGCCAAGGCGCGCAGCUGCGGCAGUUUGCACCGGCAAGGCUACACACAAGGACUGAACAUUAAUGAUGAACAGGAGGCAGACCGCAUGGAAGUAACAUUUUCUGCAACACCAGCAGUCCAAGGAAGCCUACAGAAUCGGCGACGGCCGGGCAUGGAGGGCAGAAGAUGGGGAGGCAGCCGGCUAUAGCAGCGCGCCGCCUCGCCGCGAGAGGGCACGGAGGCUGAUGCUGGGUUCCAGCCGCCACGAGAGUAGUGUACAAACACUUCACCGCCACGGGUUGGGGAGUACAGGAGCAGUGAGACUGGAGGUGGGAAGCGGGGGGAGGCAGCCAGCUCGUAGCGGUUUGGGAAAGGCU